GGGACCAUAGCUCAGUGGUAGAGCAUCCGACUGCAGAUCGGAUUGUCCCCGGUUCAAAUCCGGGUGCUCCCU
rnacentral:tRNA from 1 species